rnacentral:rRNA from 1 species
UACGGAGGGGGCUAGCGUUGUUCGGAAUUACUGGGCGUAAAGCGCACGUAGGCGGCUUUGUAAGUUAGAGGUGAAAGCCCGGGGCUCAACUCCGGAAUUGCCUUUAAGACUGCAUCGCUAGAAUUGUGGAGAGGUAAGUGGAAUUCCGAGUGUAGAGGUGAAAUUCGUAGAUAUGGGGAGGAACACCGGUGGCGAAGGCGGCCACCUGGACGGAUACUGACGCUGAGACGCGAAAGCGUGGGGAGCAAACAGG